AAUAUUGCACAAUGGAGGAAACUCUGAUGCAGCGACGCCGCGUGAGUGAAGAAGGUCUUCGGUUCGUAAAACUCUUUCCGUGGUGAAGAUAAUGACGGUAGCCAAGGAGGAAGCUUCGGCUAACUACGUGCCAGGAGCCGCGGUAAUACGUAGGGGGCUACCGUUGUCCGGAUUUACUGGGCGUAAAGGUUGAGUAGGCGGUUAUGUAUGUCAGAUGUAAAAGGCGUGGGCUUAACUUACGUUAGCAUUUGAAACUGCAUAACUUGAGUGCGGGAGAGGUAAGUGGAAUUCCUAGUGUAGCGGUGAAAUGCGUAGAUAUUAGGAGGAACACCAGUGGCGAAGGCGACUUACUGGACCGUAACUGACGCUGAGUCACGAAAGCGUGGGUAGCAAACAGG
rnacentral:rRNA from 1 species